UUUAUUCUUUAAAGUUUAACAAUUCAUUCUUUAUCUUAAUAUCUUUAUAUUUCUUUGCGGUUGGCUUUCUUCCCUUUCAUCUUUUUUAUUGUACAGCAAUCUUUCUCCUCAAACCUACCACCUCUCUCUCUUUUCUUUCCUUCUUACUUUCUCUUCCCCCCCUCUUCUUGUCCUCCCUACUUCCUCUUCCUCUUUCUUUCUCCUUCUCCUCCACUCUUCCUUCCUCUCUUACCCUCACUCCUACUCUAAUUUCCCUUCCCUUCCUUCAUCCCUCUCUAUUGCUGUAUCCUUUUAUGCAUAUGGACUACUCAGAGGGCUGAAAAAGUUAUUUUUGACUGGUCCUUGCACUUUUGACCAGUCAUCGAACUUACGACUGUCCUCACACAAAAACGUAAAAAACAUUUUACGUUUUUGUCCUAUCUUGUCACCAUAGUGAAGAGAAGCAGUUGUGAAAUGAGUGAGAUGGUUGUUAAGAAUGCUACAAUGGGCAUAAAUGAUGACCAGUCAUAAGUGCGAAGACCGGUCACAAGUGUGAGGACCUGUCAAAAAUCACUUUUUUCAGCCCUCUGGGUAGUCCCUAUGCAGAUAGCCACACCCACCCGGUCACAUGACCAGCUAGCCACGCCCACCCGGUCACAUGACCAGCUAGCCAGGCCCACCCGGUCACAUGACCAGCUAGCCAGGCCCACCUAGUCACAUGACCACCAAGCCACAUCCCCAACUAAGCCAUGCCCACAGAACCGGUUGUUAAAAAAAUUGAAUCCCACCACUGUGCACAGGUUUUAAAAUAUGCUUUAUUGGCAGCCUGAAUCCCCCUUUAAUAAAAAUGCCUGAGCACUUGCUAUAAAUAGAUGUGAGAUGAGCUGCAUUCACCUGUUGCUUGGCUUUUGCAGAUAAUCACACUGUCAGGAAAAGUUUAGCUAAAAGAUUCUGCAAAGCUCUGCUAAAGGACUAUUGUUUCAGCCUUAGUCAAUGAACACUAAACCAUAAUCAUCAUGCUUCAGUGAGAAUUAAUUCAGGCUAUAUCCAUAAGAGAUUCUUUCUAUUUUGGGAAGCUAUUUAUAUUUUUUUAUAUUGACAUUCUCCAUUUGCCAAACAAUGUGAUAAAUAACCCAGUAAUUUAUUCACUUCCCCUGCCCCAAUUAUAACUUGCAAUCAAAUAUCACAAAGUUUGUUUCUAAGCUGUUUUAGGAAGAUGUUGGCUUAAGUUUGCUUUUUCUUUUUUUUAAAAAAACAUUUUUUUCUGUAACUGAACCUAAGUGGCUGUGGUUUAGCAGUAAUAACAGGAAUGAGUAAAGUAGAUAUUCUUGAAGGACAGGGGAAAGCUUUAGGUCUUCAUGGCUUCAGUCUUUUAGGCCGGUGACUAUCUUGUAAGGGUGACAGUGCCUCUAUAUGUUCAUCCCACCUGCAUGGCAACACUAAGCCACCCAAAAGCUGUUGAUCUGAUGAUUUUGGAUCAGAGCUUCUGUUCUGGCACUUUCUGUAAAGAGACAGAGUCAAAAGAUGCUUGCUAGGGAACUGUCAGAUAAGAGAUUGCAUAACCCACAACUGGAUAGUAGGUGGGCAAGAGGCUCAGAAGAGACCUUCACUAAUGCCUCAGGCUGUAAAGGAGAUGGUGAGAGAAUUGUACUUUAAGACGUGCAAGAUAUGAAGUAUUACAAUAAUGUUGAAUGAACUCAUCUGGUUGUGUUUCCUGUCUGGUGUACCUAGGAAAGCUGAGAUCAAUCUUGCAAGUCUGAAAGGUCUCCCAAGCAGUGGUGGGUUUCAAAAAUUUUUACUACUGGUUCUGUGGGUGUGGCUCGGUGGGUGUGGCAUGGCUUGGUGGGCAUGGCAGGGGAAAGAUACUGUAAAAUCUCCAUUCCCUCCCCAGUCCAGAGGAAGGUAACUGAAAAAUCCCCAUUUCCUCCUGAUCAGCUGGGACUUGGGAGGCAGAGAAUAGAUGGGGGCAGGGCCAAUCAGAAUUUUUACUACCGGUUCUCCGAACUACUCAAAAUUUUCGCUACCGGUUCUCCGGAACUGGUCAGAACCUGCUGAAACCCACCUCUGCUCCCAAGGUCUUUCCCACAUACCAUUAUACUUUCCUUGUCCUGGAACUUUUAGAUGUGUUUCUAUAACAUGGAAUUCUGAAGAAGGUAAAUAGAGAAUUUUGGAGGGGAAAAAAUCCUUCUGUUUCUCUUGCAUUUAGGAGGUUGCAUAAGAACUCGGAAGGAUUAAAUGCGUCUUCUACACUUCACCCAUGAAGAGGAAACCUCAAUAUCAGCAUGAAAAUAGCAGCACCAGCUUGUUUCCCCCCUGAAAUUCCAUAAACCGGACCUUUACUCUAUAAUUCCAUAAACCGGACACUCCACUCUAAGUGGUAAUGCCCUCUUGUCAUAAAUUAACCAUGGGUAAAUAUAUCUUAAAGCUUCAGGCUGUGUUUUCAUGAGAUGUUUACCCAUGCUUAACUAAGCCACAGUUCUGCUCAAAAUUGAAUUAACUCACGUUUUCUAACUCUGCACAAUAUAGACAAUAUACUUUAGCUAAAUUGUGGUUAGGCAGUCUCGUUGAAGAUAUAUUAUGAACACAGCCCCAAGUUCUAGCUAAUGGCUACUAUCACUAAUUAAAUUCUACAGUAUGUGUCAGAAGUGGAACCUACUGUUCUCAUAACUCAUUUAAAGAAUGCAUCUCUUACUACCUUGCCAUUUCUUGUUUGCUUGCUUGCUAAGUAAAAAGUCAAUUGACCUGAAUCAAAGAAAUUCCAGAGAGUAAUUAUAAAAAGGUUAUAUGUAUAUUAUUUAGUGUUUUUUUACUUCCCUAGCUACAGAAAAUAAGGAACAAUUUACAUUAAGAAGGGGUAUAGAAAGCAUCAAUUGGCAUAACGCUCUAAUUGCAGUUCAGACUCUGCAUAUUAAUAUUUUAAAUUCAUAAAAUUGCACUAGUAGAAUGAAGUUGUCAAUCACAUGUCUGAGUUGAAUAUAGCUGGAAAAAAUAUCCUAGAUCCAAGCUUCAAAAAGACUGUGAAUAAAGUUAAACCAGCAAACCUGAAGGAUAAUUCCAUCUCUUCUCAUUAAAACAGAAUGCAAGCCCACAUGAUACUUUCAAAAAUAACUAACAAGAUUUGAGUAUACUCUUAUUUAGAAGUGUUGUGGCCAGUAAAGAACAAACAAUUACUUUAAAACAUUAAAAUGGCACAUCUGAUUAUUUUAAGCUAUGCAUUAUGCAAAGAAGGAAAUAAACUGUACAUUUCUUAUGCUACCAAAUUGUUUUAAAGCCUUUUGAAAUUACAGAGCUCACUACCCCAUCCCAUACCAUUGAAAUAAGCCAAGUAUACUUUCUUUCAUCUGAUUAAACCUCCUCCACUAGUCUUUAUAAGCGUAGAAAGAUUCCAGCUCUGUUAAAAAAAAAAAAAGCAGAAGCUUUUGGUUAGCAAUUCUCUCUGUAGCAUCAGCCAUUUGAAAACUCCUAGGUUAAUAUUCAGUCUAGUGUUCUCUGAAUAAUUUAAGGAUCUAUUUCCACGAUAUCUUAAAACAGGCCAUAUUUACUACAGUUGCAAUGCCUGGGGGUCAUGUGUUCACCUUUUGCGACACCUGGUGAGCAAAGUCAAUGGGGAAGCCACAUCCACUUAAUGAUCCUGUUACUAACUUAACAACUGUAGUUAUUUAUUUAACAACUGUGGCAAGAAAGGUUGUAAAGUGGGGCAAAAUUCACUUAACAACUGUCUCAUUCAGCAAGAGAAAUUUUGGGCUGUGUACAACUGUGUACAACUGUGGCCGUAGGUCAAGGACUAUCUGUACAUCAGCAUUAAACCAAUUCAAGGAAGAUUCACCUUUAAUGGGAAGAGUUGUGAUAAAACAAAUGUAUUGCAUGUUGAGGGUCCAAGACAAGGUCUCUGGCAUUUUUAUAUAUUCUUGAGAAAUAUUCAUAAGUGAAACCUUGGAGAUUUGAUGUGGGCAAUAUUCAGCUAUGUUGACUGAUUUGAAUAAAAGUUGUUUCCUAUAUCACUUUAGAAUCAUAGAUCUGUUUAAGUCAUCAGAUCAAAGCAUCUACCACAACUCUCUCUAGUCUCUCCUGUCCAAUGAAAGGGAAAUUAUGAACUCUCUAGAUCACGGGUGUCAAAGUUGAUAGCGUCAUGUGACAUCAUGUGACAUAUCAUGCUGUUUUUUGCCUUUGUGGAGCCAGGGUGGGCGUGGCCUGUGCGUGAUGCAUCUGGCCCGCAGGCCACCAAUUACCCAGCUCUAGGUAAUUGGUUUCAUUUUCAGUAUGCUUAUUAUUAGUUUCCCUAAUAUUUAACCAGACUCUGAUUUCCUAAAGAUCAUUAUUCUGUGUCCUAUAUUCUAGGUCAUGACUUUUUUUGAGGGGGCAAGGUGGGGGGAUUAUACAACCAGUAUAAUCAUUCAAUGAACCAUUCAUUCAAUUUUUUUCAAAUUAAACACAUUUUGUUCUUUCUUUUUUCAACUCAUCAUUUUAUUUAGAGCCAAAGACAUCCAGUUCUCUCAAUCACUCUUCUGAGGAUUUUAGUUCUAAACCCCUGGAAAUCCACAUGCCAAGAAUUCCUCCAUAAUUCAGAUUGCCUCACUUAUGUGAUCUGCAGUCGUAAUCUGGGUGAGGAUUGAGGAAGCAUCCCAGAGUACCAAUUCCACAGGAGAAAUAUAUCAUCCAAUUAUGCUCUUGGUUUUCUUGCAGCAUUAUAGAUAGCAGGAUAUGGAAGAAUGGAUUUAACUCACAGGAAGGCAUAUUCCAGGGGUGAAAUGCUCCCAGUUUGGACUGGCUUGGGUGAGUAGGUAGCGAUGGCGGCGGGCAGUUCAGAGAACCGGUAGCAAAAAUCCCUGCCCCCACCCCCCCAUGCCCAGCUGAGCCACGCGAUCAUCAGAGACUUUUUUUCUUUUAAAUGCCUCUGACAAUCCAAGCUCUGACGAUCCAAGCUGAGUUGCCUGAUCAUCAGAGGGUUUUUAAAAAACCUUCUGCCGAUCAGGCAACUCAGCUGGGAUCGUCAGAGUCUUUUGAAAGCAUUUUUUUUACAUGGUUUUACAUAUAAAAAAUGGUUUUAAAAGUAAAAAAAAAAAAUUGGCCACACCCACCCAGUCACAUUACCCCCCUCCACCAAGCCACACCCACAGAACCGGUAGUAACAAAUUUUAGAUUUCACCACUGGCAUAUUCCAACUGAAUGGUGGAGGGGGGGAGGGGGAGAAUUCCUAACAGUAAAAGCAGUUCAACAGCAGAACUGUUAAUGUACAAAGAUCUAGCCCAAUAAAUACUCAGAGACAAUGGUAUAUAUCGAUCAUUAUUUAUUUGUACAACUCUGUUCACUUGUAGGUGGAGUUGAAAAAGAAGAACAGUCUAAUGCCCCGUGUAUGCCCCUUAUAUACCAUGGAGGCGUGGUCAAAGUUCCUCAUAACCAAUAAUCAUUGGCUCAAGACUUCCAUAGAAUUUCUAUCUCUACCUCAGAUAAGCCUGAGCUCACCAACAUGUUUUCUGUUUAUGGCUAUAUAGCCGUGAUGCCGAACCUAUGGCACACGUGCCACAGGUGGCACACGGAGCCAUAUCAGUGGGCACGCAAGCAUUGCCCUAGCUCAGCUGCAGCACACAUGCGCAUAUAAGCCAACUGAUUUUUGGACCUUCUGGGCCAACCAUAAGUUGGCAAAUGGACCAUUUCCAACCUCCAGAGGGCCUCCAGGGGGGUGGGGAAGGCUGUUUUCACCCUCCCCAGGCUCCCAGAAAGCCUCUGGAGCCUGGGGAGGGUGAAAAAUCGCCCUACCAGGCCUACAGUGCCAUCGCAUGCCAAAAACGGGGGGAGCACUGGGGGGUGUCACUCGUGCAUGCGCGGGGAGGCGUAUUGACUUGUGGACUUGUGCACAUGACAGCCAAAAGGUUAGCCAUCACUGGUAUAUAGGAACUACAAUACAUACUAUCAGUGUUUAUCCUAUGGCCAUAAUCCUGGUUUUCAUUAAUGUGUUAAGAUUUUUUAAAUAUAUAUAUAUAUUCAAAAUUAAUUUUUAUGCUGAAAAUUAAAUGUUGGGUCAAAGUGUUCCAAACCAAUUUUCUUUUUGCUUCCCCCCCCCCCCAUGACCAGAAAGCAAUAUUCAAUCACAAGAGAAGCAAUCUGUGUUUGUGAUGUUAUAGAAUAAAAGCAGGUUUUCCACUGCAGUGAAAUGUGACCUAGAAGAAUAACAUUAAAGGGCAGUGUUAGUUGCUUCAGGAGGGUUUGAGUUUGUUUUUUUAAAAAUGGUUGCACUAAUGUUGCAAAUGUUUUUGUAAUAAGAAUCAGUGUGCUUCUCUUCAGUAAAACAAAUUCAACUCUGCUUCUAUAAGCUGCAGUAGUUUCCCAGACACAAAAGAGGUACCGUACAUUCCUAAUACAUAUAUGUUUAAUGAAUUCAGUUUGUUGGGGGAUUAACUGAUAGAAUGUUUUGACAGAACUUAAUUAUUCUUAGUGUGAUAAAGUAAUAAAUUAGAGGCAACUGGGAGGAUUAGUAAAUAAAACAUUUAUUUUCUAUAAUUAAGACCUCGCUUACUAUUCCAAAAAAAAAAUAGGUUACGUUAUCUACAGAUAGUUGACUAAAUUUUCUCUUUUUGCUUGCAUGGCCCAGUUUUCUUUUCAGAAAGCUAAAGGGACAAAUGCAAUUAUAGGUAGAACAGACCAAUUCAGAGUUUUCAUCCAAGGCUUAAUUUUAUACUGUCAUGGUUUCUAUAAGAUUCCUAAAUUGUUGGACAAAAACUUAGCUCUCUUGAGGAGUCCAUAAUGCUGGGGAAAGUAGCAGGAAAGAGAAGACAACAGUGACCAGCAACAAGAUGGAUGGACUUGAUUGCAGUGGUUGUGAGUACACCUUUCAGAGACCUGAAGGACCUGGUUGGUGACCAAUUAUUAUGCAGAUCUACCUGUUUUUUUACGAGAAGAGUCCUCCAUUCGUCUAACCGCAAUAAAAUACUUUAUGCCACCAGACUCCAAAUUUUGGGCUUAGAUCACUUAGAACUACUCCGACUUCAGUCUGACCUAAGCAUAGUACAUAAAAUUAUCUGCCACAAUGUCCUUCCUGUCAAUGACUACUUCAGCUUCAAUCACAACAAUACACAAGCAAAUAACAGAUACAAACUUAAGGUAAACCGUUCCAAACUCAAUUGCAGAAAAUAUGACUUCAGUAACAGAGUGGUCAAUGCCUGGAAUGCACUACCUGACUCUGUAGUUUCUUCCCCAAACCCCCAAAACUUUAACCUUAAACUGUCUACUGUUGACCUUACCCCAUUCCUAAGAGGCCUGUAAGGGGCGUGCAUAAGUGCACCAGUGUGCCUACCAUCCCUGUCCUAAUAUUCCUUACUUACUCUUUUCAUGUAUUCAAAUUAUGUUUAUACUUUUACCUGUUAUCUUAUAUAUGCUGACAAAUAAAAUAAACUUAUGAAACUUAUAAAACUUAUAAUUAAUCAAAGCUCCAUAUAAGCUAUAUAUAUUUUUAGCUUAAAAAUCUCAAUUCAAUACAACCAAGCAUGCUUCAAUACAAUGUGCAGACACUCUUCCAAAAUGCUGAUGUUCUAGAAUGAUUUUGCAUCAGAUGGGCUAAAUUGGAAAGAGGAGCAUGGGCUACUUCGCAAGACAGUGACGACAUAACACAGAAGUUCAAUCCUUAGCUACAUAUAUACUCUUCUAUUGACACACAAUAUUUGACUUGGGAUCUGACUUUGAAUAAAGGGGAACUAUCAUUUGUUAUCAUUUGGAAAGUAUACUUAGGUUCAUACAACCUAAACUUGUAUCAGACUUUUUUCACAGCCACAUCAUAUUGCUCAUACCGAUUGGUCUACAAUUAAUUACUAUUGUGGGACUGUUUUCAUAAAUAUUAUUAACAAGACAUAUAUUGUCUAUCCCUCCUGUGUACUUAAUUUCUGUUUCUUAAUGUUUCUAUUAUAGUAUUAAAUCACAGUUGCCUUUGUAUACUGUGUUAAAUGUUCAAUAAAGACAAAUGCUCUAUACAUUAAUGUAUAGACAACAAAGAUUUUCUUCA